CCCGAAAGAUAACAACGAGUAAUAAAGGUCCUUAAAAAAACCGGAAAAGACACAGAGAAACACGAAACAUGUGAAGAAGCUGAGGUGUAAUUAAACAACUCUAAGAUGCAAUCAAAAAUACAAAUACAUGAAACAAGUGGCGACUAAAUAAAUAAAGAAACAAAGGUCGCUACAAGGCUGCAACCAAGAGAAUCAGAUAUUAAUAGAAAGAUAGACGAACCAAAGAGAAAAGACAAGAAACUCGACAAUGAACUGUAAAACCCCUAAUAGAAAAAGGAAAGUCAGGCAAAGGAUGAAGCAAAUAAAUCCAGGAAAAACAUGAGGCAGGAUUGACUUAAACAAUGGUGCAGACAUCACUUUGAAAGAAUAAAAUGUACGAGUGAUGAAAAUAAAACAAUAAACAAAAGCAGUAUAGACAAAAUUAGGCAAAGGAGCCAAUAAUUAAACAAACAACACUAGGAAGUAAAAAAACACAAACACAGAAUAUACAAAACAUCCAGACAAAUAAAAUGGCGAUCAACUAAGAAGUUGAAUAAAGGUGUAAACUGAAUAAUGAAACUAGGAACACAACAGAAAGUAAAAACUAGAAAACCAUAAAAACAAUGGGGAUUAAAACCCGUAAAAAAGGAGAAGGGAAAUGUACACAGCUGCGUAAGACAGACACGAAAAUACGAGAGAGACCUGGCCAAAGCAUUGGCGUAACCAUCACCCCUAGGAAAUAGAACAACAAAAUAGAACAAAGGAAGACUCUUAAAAAACAGACAGAGAAGAUAAAGAAGCGAGGGAAUAAAACAACAGAAAAUAACAAAAGCUAACCCCCGUUGAUGUAACAAACUGUAGAAAUCAAAAGCCAUACAAAGAAA